AUGCUCUGGGCACUUUGGUAUGCGAGGCGUAAAGCAAUUCACGAGAAUAUAUUUCAGGCACCAUACUCUGUCAACAGCUUCAUAUCAAAAUAUUUGGAUGAACUACGAGUGACCCAGCAAAGGCAUCCUUCCUCGACCCCUUCUAAAAGCGCCCGACCAGCGCGGUGGCUUGCACCACCAUCAGGUUACGCGAAGUUUAACGCCGAUGCAACGGUAACCAGAAACGGUGGGACAGUGGGGGUGAUCUGUAGAGACGACAGGGGUAUGUUUAUAGGAGCCUCGACUCUCUCUUUCAGAUACAUUGUGGAUCCCCCGACUUUGGAAGCACUUGCUAUUAGAGAGGCACUAGCAUUGGCAGAUGAUCUCUAUCUGAGGCGCAUCCAAGUGGCGUCGGACUGCAAAACGGUGGUGCAGGACAUACACAAGGAGAAUUUGGCAAGCUACGGAGCAGUCAUUCAUGAGAUAGUUGAACAUUCUUUAGCUUUUGAUUUCUGUAAUUUCAGUCAUGAGUUUACGAGUUCGAAUUUUGAAGCUCACAACUUAGCGAAGCAUGCUUUAUCUUUCGAUGGUGGCCGCCAUGUUUGGUUAGGUCAUCUUGGUAAUUUACCAUCCGUCCCUGUAAAUAUUGUAACGACUUAA
rnacentral:rRNA from 1 species